rnacentral:rRNA from 1 species
GACGUAGGAUGCAAGCGUUGUCCGGAAUUAUUGGGCGUAAAGAGUUCGUAGGCGGUUGCCUAAGUCUGGUGUUAAAGACCGAAGCUCAACUUCGGCUGGCAUUGGAAACUGGGUGGCUAGAGUACGGUAGAGGUAUCGGGAAUUCCAGGUGUAGCGGUGAAAUGCGUAGAUAUCUGGAGGAACACCGGUGGCGAAAAGCGCGAUACUGGGGCCUAAACUGACGCUGAGGAAACAAAAGCCAGGGGAGC